rnacentral:rRNA from 1 species
UACGGAGGGAGCUAGCGUUGUUCGGAAUUACUGGGCGUAAAGCGUGCGUAGAUGGUUAUGUAAGUUAGGUGUGAAAGCCCCGGGCUCAACCUGGGAAUUGCAUUUAAGACUGCAUAGCUAGGGUGCGGAAGAGGGAAGCGGAAUUUCCGGUGUAGCGGUGAAAUGCGUAGAUAUCGGGAGGAACACCGGUGGCGAAGGCGGCGACCUGGGUAGAUACUGACGCUGAGACGCGAAAGCGUGGGGAGCGAACAGG